CAAUAGCGUAUAUUAAAGUUGUUGCGGUUAAAAAGCUCGUAGUUGGAUUUCUGCUGAGAACGACCGGUCCGCCCAUUGGGUGUGUAUCUGGCUCUUUCUUGGCAUCUUCUUGGUGAACGUUACUGCACUUGACUGUGUGGAGCGCUACCCAGGACUUUUACUUUGAGGAAAUUAGAGUGUUUCAAGCAGGCAUACGCCUUGAAUACGUUAGCAUGGAAUAAUAAGAUAGGAUCUUCGUCCUAUUUUGUUGGUUUCUAGGGCUAAGAUAAUGAUUAAUAGGGAUAAUUGGGGGCAUCUGUAUCAACGCGUCAGAGGUGGAAUUCUUGGACUGCGUUGCGACAAACUACUGCGAAAGCAUUUGCCAAGGAUGUUUUCAUUGA
rnacentral:rRNA from 1 species